GUGCCGGCUUGCCGGCUAUGGUGAUAAACGGGCGGUGUAAUAAACCCAUUGGACCCGGGGGCGGUACCCGGCGCCUCCACCAGAAACCGUUGAAAUGGCAACGUUUUCUGAUGGGGGCGAAAUAGGAUCGACAAGGGCGUAAAGAUCGACUUUUUACUCGGCAUUGUACCACCGUUAUCGGGCUAAACUUGUAGUUGCAAACGACAACUAUGCGGAAGCUCGUCUCGCUGCUUAAUCGCAGUGUGACACUUCAAAUCAAGUCCUUGCGGGUAGCACUGUAAGGCGGGGUUCGAAGGCACCUGGCAACAGAAGCCUUCACU
rnacentral:tmRNA from 1 species